rnacentral:sRNA from 1 species
CCCGCCCACCUCCGCUCCGCCCGCCCCAGCUGACAUCUCUGCUGCCUGAAGCUGCUUUGGGGAAGUACUUUGUCACAGGAACCAAGAAAUGAACUGAGAUUUAUUUACCGUUGUUACACGCGUGUUUUGCUACAUGCAUGUCUGUGUACUACAUGCAUGCAUUGGACACAGAGGCCAGAAGAGGGUAUCUGCAUCUGAUAGCCAUGCUAGGCUCCUGUCUGCAAGCACACCACAGCCUCAGUAACAGCGUCAGAGCCCCAGGCCUCCCUUUGAGCUGGAUCCUAAU